CGGGUGCGUAACGCGUAUGCAACCUGCCGUCUACUCUUGGACAGCCUUCUGAAAGGAAGAUUAAUACAAGAUGGCAUCAUGAGUCCGCAUGUUCACAUGAUUAAAGGUAUUCCGGUAGACGAUGGGGAUGCGUUCCAUUAGAUAGUAGGCGGGGUAACGGCCCACCUAGUCUUCGAUGGAUAGGGGUUCUGAGAGGAAGGUCCCCCACAUUGGAACUGAGACACGGUCCAA
rnacentral:rRNA from 1 species